rnacentral:rRNA from 1 species
CAGUCGCCGCGGGAAUACGUAGGGUGCAAGCGUUAAUCGGAAUUACUGGGCGUAAAGCGUGCGCAGGCGGUUCGCUAAGACAGAUGUGAAAUCCCCGGGCUUAACCUGGGAACUGCAUUUGUGACUGGCGGGCUAGAGUAUGGCAGAGGGGGGUAGAAUUCCACGUGUAGCAGUGAAAUGCGUAGAGAUGUGGAGGAAUACCGAUGGCGAAGGCAGCCCCCUGGGCCAAUACUGACGCUCAUGCACGAAAGCGUGGGGAGCAAACAGGAUUAGAUACCCCGGUAGUCCCUGUCUCUUAUAA